CGCAUCCCUCUCCCCCCAAAAUCAGGAAACCGUAGGCCCCCAAAAUUGAAGAAGCCCUCAUCCGCGCCUGAUCUCUCUGCUCCCAAAAUCCAUCCCUCUCCAACAUUUCUUAGGGUUUCCCCCCAAAACCAAACCGCGUCCCUCUCUCCCGAAAAUCCGAGAAAUCCUAAUGCCCCAAGAAUCGGAAAAACCCUCUUUCGUGCCCAAUCUCUCUGCUCCUGAAAUCCAGAUAUUUCUCUCUAAUAUCUUUUAGGGUUUCUUCUAAAAAACCCUAGAUCUGAUUUCCACAUACUGAAUUGAUCGUCGGCUGCUUGGAUCAAUCCUUUUCUCUUCUUUUGUCAUGUAAUGGAUCGAUCAGAUUUCGGAUCUUUCUUAGAUUCAUUGCCGGCCGCAAGCCCAAGAUGUCCUCAACAGAUUCUGUCGCUCUUCUGAGAAAUAGAAUCGUCGGACGGAUAGAUCUCAGUCCUCCAGAUCGUCCAAUCCCCGAUCUAACGGAUCAGAUCCACCAGCUCCCUUGCUGCAUCAGGCUCAAUGGCCCUUGUCCCAUCUCCGACUACUUCAAGCCCAAAAAGACUGGCAUCGUUGUUGAUUCCAUGGGUUUUUUGGAUUUGGAUUUGCCUCAUAUCCAUGGGUUUAUGGAUGUAUGAAUUUGGCAAAUCCCCAACAAAAAACAAACAUGGGAGAUUUUAAAUCCAUGGAUUCACAAAUCCUUGCUCCUAAUCCCUCACCUCAAAUGGCUCCUAUUUUUUGCGGCAAAGAGCAGAGCUUUCUGUUUUGGUUCUAUAUUCAAUUUGGGUUUGUUUGGAUUCCACCAUUUUUAUGGUUUUGCAGUCUGCCUUAGGUGAGUUACUGACCCCUGUUUCAAUUCCUCUCUAUUUUGAUAUUUUCAAUUACUAUUUUCUAUACUUAUAAAUUCCAAUUCAUGAAAUUGAUGAAUGCUCGAGCUGGAAGAAUCUUUUGCUUUAUUUCCCUUUCUGCUAUCUAUAUUAAGCAUCAGGGGGCUGACUUAUUAUAAUUGGAAAAUUGGGAGGAUUCUGAAAGCUAAUCGUCGUCUAGUUCAAUGUCCGGUGGGUUUUUGUUGUUUUGAUUUGGGGGAAUGACUCUUUUAUUUGGAUCAUAUUUUAGAUGCACUUUGGCUUCGGUAUGAAACUUCGGAUACCAUUUUGGGUCAUCAUUUGGAUUUUUUUUGAUGCAGAAGUUUCUUUGAUGCAGAAAACAAUUGUAAGCUUUUGUUUGUUGCUAGUAAGUUUUGAAUUCCAAUUUCCUUUGGUUAGUAAAGGUUCAAUUUCAGGAAUUUAUGCAAUACGCAUGAUUGAUAUCCUUGAUAUAUCAGAGGCGUAUAGCUCACAUAGUAGAGCAGUUUGCAUGGGAGCAAUACGGGGUCCAUUCCCCUGCAUCUGUACUCUGAAGCCUAUUCUAGAAGACAAUGUACACCAGUUCUUAAAUGCUGGUGAUACUCUAUCUAGAUGAUACCCAGGAUUUGGAGGGCUCGGCUUACCUUAAUGUAUGCCACAUGUACUUUGGAUUUGUCACUACCGUUUUCUUCUUUGGUGGGAAUAAAAAGGGAUGGGUACAAUAAGGGGUCCAAUGUGUGGAAAACUAUAAACAAGGUUGUUACCAUCCGAUUGUACAGUAA